AUUGAAAUUUAAAGAAAAGUCGAUGGACUUAAAAUCCCUCGGGGGUAACCCCGUGCCGGUUCGACCCCGGCUCCGGGCACCA
rnacentral:tRNA from 2 species